rnacentral:rRNA from 14 species
CGAAAAGAACCCCUGUGAGGGGAGUGAAAUAGAACCUGAAACCGUACGCUUACAAGCGGUCGGAGCCCAUUUACUGGGUGACGGCGUGCCUUUUGCAUAAUGAGCCUACGAGUUGCUCGUAUCUAGCAAGGUUAAAUUUUAUUGGAGCCGAAACGAAAGUGAGUCUUAACAGGGCGCUUAGUUAGAUGCGGCAGACGCGAAACUUGGUGAUCUACCCAUGACCAGGUUGAAGACGCGGUAACACGCGUUGGAGGACCGAACCAGUUUACGUUGAAAAGUAUUUGGAUGAGUUGUGGGUGGGGGUGAAAGGCCAAUCAAA